rnacentral:misc_RNA from 1 species
GAUGAAGAACGGAGCGAAAUGCGAUAAGUAAUGUGAAUUGCAGAAUUCAGUGAAUCAUCGAAUCUUUGAACGCACAUUGCGCCCCCUGGUAUUCCGGGGGGCAUGCCUGUCCGAGCGUCAUUACAACCCUCAAGCUCAGCUUGGUGUUGGGCCCCGCCGCCCCGGCGGGCCCUAAAGUCAGUGGCGGUGCCGUCCGGCUCCGAGCGUGGUAAUUCUUCUCGCUCUGGAGGUCCGGUCGUGUGCUCGCCAGCAACCCCCAAUUUUUUUCAGGUUGACCUCGGAUCAGGCAGGGAUACCCGCUGAACUUAAGCAUAUCAAUAAGCGGAGGA